CGUGCAUUUAUCAGACCAAAAACCGGCCGCGUCUUCGGGCGCGUUCGCCUUGGUGACUCUGGAUAACUUUGCGGAUCGCACGGUCUAGCACCGGCGACGGAUCAUUCAAGUGUCUGCCCUAUCAACUUUCGUCGGUACGGUAUUUGCCUACCGAGGUUCUUACGGGUGACGGGGAAUCAGGGUUCGAUUCCGGAGAGGGAGCCUGAGAAACGGCUACCACAUCCAAGGAAGGCAGCAGGCGCGCAAAUUACCCAUUCCCGACGCGGGGAGGUAGUGACGAAAAAUAACAAUGCAGGACUCGUUCGAGGCCCUGUAAUUGGAAUGAGUACACUUUAAAAGCUUUAACGAGUAUCCAUUGGAGGGCAAGUCUGGUGCCAGCAGCCGCGGUAAUUCCAGCUCCAAAAGUAUAUAUUUAAGUUGUUGCGGUUAAAAAGCUCGUAGUUGGAUUUUGGGCGCAGGCGGCCGGUCCGUCGCAAGGCGUGUACUGGACGUCCUGGCCUUCCCUCCGGUUCUCCGCCGGUGCUCUUGACUGAGUGUCGGCGGCGGCCGGAACGUUUACUUUGAAAAAAUUAGAGUGUUCAAAGCAGGCUCUCGAGCCUGGAUAAUGGUGCAUGGAAUAAUGGAAUAGGACCUCGGUUCUAUUUUGUUGGUUUUUCGGAGCGCGCGAGGUAAUGAUUAAGAGGGACAGACGGGGGCAUUCGUACUGUGCCGUUAGAGGUGAAAUUCUUGGAUCGGCGCAAGACGAACGACUGCGAAAGCAUUUGCCAAGAAUGUUUUCUUUAAUCAAGAGCGAAAGUCAGAGGUUCGAAGACGAUCAGAUACCGUCCUAGUUCUGACUAUAAACGAUGCCAACUAGCGAUCGGGGGGCGUUACAUUGACGACCC
rnacentral:ncRNA from 1 species